GAUGAACGCUGGCGGCGUGCCUAAUACGUGCAAGUCGAGCGAACAGAUGAGAAGCUUGCUUCUCUGAUGUUAGCGGCGGACGGGUGAGUAACGCGUGGGUAACCUACCUAUAAGACUGGGAUAACUCCGGGAAACCGGGGCUAAUACCGGAUCAUAUUUUGAACCGCAUGGUUCAAUAGUGAAAGACGGUUUCGGCUGUCACUUAUAGAUGGACCCGCGCCGUAUUAGCUAGUUGGUAAGGUAACGGCUUACCAAGGCGACGAUACGUAGCCGACCUGAGAGGGUGAUCGGCCACACCGGAACUGAGACACGGUCCAGACUCCUACGGGAGGCAGCAGUAGGGAAUCUUCCGCAAUGGGCGAAAGCCUGACGGAGCAACGCCGCGUGAGUGAUGAAGGUCUUCGGAUCGUAAAACUCUGUUGUUAGGGAAGAACAAAUUUGUUAGUAACUGAACAAGUCUUGACGGUACCUAACCAGAAAGCCACGGCUAACUACGUGCCAGCAGCCGCUGUAA
rnacentral:rRNA from 1 species